rnacentral:rRNA from 1 species
CUAUGGGGGGCAGCAGGCGGGAAAACUUUGCAAAGAGAGGAAACCCGGCCAGGGUAAUUCAAGUGGAUUUGGUAAAGAAAGUCUUUCCUCUU